UACUUCUCUCUCUCUCUCUCUUGUCGUCUCUUGUUCGUUGAAUCGUUUAGACGUGGAAGCAGCUGAUUGUUUCCACUCUUCGAGGCUCGAAUUUUGAUAAAAUUGGAAGAGACUUAGGGUUGUGGUUGGUACAUGUACGAGGGGUUUUUCUCGUGAGAGGAAAUGGAUCGGUGGCACGCGUGAUUCUGGUGAUGGCUUCGUGCUUCGAUUAUGAUGAUGUAGGAAGAAUCAAGAUGCUGUAAGCACAAGAACCGUGGUCAUUCAACUCGUAAUUGGAUGGUUAAUGGGUAACUUAGCUACAAUACUUUGUAUUACUGGAUCAAAAGUAUUUACUGUGCCAAGAGGAAUUACUUGUCCUGUGAACGUUUUUUAUUGCAAAUUUUAAAUCCUAUUGUAUCCUUCUUGUUCCAAAAAGCUGGAGUUGAAGUCCAGCUUUCAUCUUUCCUCUAAAAAGUAUGAACAGCUGAAGUUGUUGAUUCUAAGCAAUUGCUAAGUUGUAAUACCAUUUUGUGUUUAAUCGGCCAUUCUAAAAUAAAUUAUAGUAAAUUUAUUUAUCCACAA